rnacentral:misc_RNA from 1 species
UAUGAAAAAAAAAAAAAAAAAAGAUCCUCCAGCAGCUGCCUCACAUGAUAACAGUGCAAAAAGAGCCAAAAGAUGUCUUUGCCCUAAAGAAAUACUCAAGUUGUUGCCUCUGCCCAAAAAAAAAACCUCCAGAUGCUGCCUCAUGUGAUAACAAUGCAAAAAAGAGCCAAAAGAUGCUGCCUCUCAUGAAUAAUGGCCGUUACUAUUAACAGCUGUAAUGGCCGUGACACUCCAUUUUCUAAAAUUUCAUUAUUUAAAGGCC